GCCGCCUUAGCUCAGUUGGUAGAGCUAUUCACUUGUAAUGAAUAGGUCCUCGGUUCGAGUCCGGGAGGCGGCUCCA
rnacentral:tRNA from 1 species